UACGGAGGGUGCAAGCGUUAUCCGGAUUCACUGGGUUUAAAGGGUGCGUAGGAGGGCAGGUAAGUCAGUGGUGAAAUCCUGGAGCUUAACUCCAGAACUGCCGUUGAUACUAUCUGUCUUGAAUAUUGUGGAGGUGAGCGGAAUAUGUCAUGUAGCGGUGAAAUGCUUAGAUAUGACAUAGAACACCAAUUGCGAAGGCAGCUCGCUACGCAUAUAUUGACUCUGAGGCACGAAAGCGUGGGGAUCAAACAGG
rnacentral:rRNA from 1 species